GACGAACGCUGGCGGCGUGCUUAACACAUGCAAGUCGAACGGAAAGGCCCUGCUUUUGUGGGGUGCUCGAGUGGCGAACGGGUGAGUAACACGUGAGUAACCUGCCCUUGACUUUGGGAUAACUUCAGGAAACUGGGGCUAAUACCGGAUAUGAUCUCCUGCUGCAUGGUGGGGGUUGGAAAGUUUCGGCGGUUGGGGAUGGACUCGCGGCUUAUCAGCUUGUUGGUGGGGUAGUGGCUUACCAAGGCUUUGACGGGUAGCCGGCCUGAGAGGGUGACCGGCCACAUUGGGACUGAGAUACGGCGCAGACUCCUACGGGAGGCAGCAGUGGGGAAUAUUGCACAAUGGGCGGAAGCCUGAUGCAGCAACGCCGCGUGCGGGAUGACGGCCUUCGGGUUGUAAACCGCUUUCGCCUGUGACGAAGCGUGAGUGACGGUAAUGGGUAAAGAAGCACCGGCUAACUACGUG
rnacentral:rRNA from 1 species